AUACGGAGGGUGCGAGCGUUGUUCGGAAUUAUUGGGCGUAAAGAGCAUGUAGGCGGUCUGUUAAGUCUGGUGUGAAAGCCCGGGGCUCAACCCCGGAAGUGCAUUGGAUACUGGCAGACUUGAUUAUGGGAGAGGAAAGCGGAAUUCCGAGUGUAGGAGUGAAAUCCGUAGAUAUUCGGAGGAACACCAGUGGCGAAGGCGGCUUUCUGGACCAAUACUGACGCUGAGGUGCGAAAGCGUGGGGAGCGAACAGGAUUAGAAACCCCAGUAGUCC
rnacentral:rRNA from 1 species